rnacentral:rRNA from 1 species
GUGCCAGCAGCCGCGGUAAGACGAACCGUGCGAACGUUGUUCGGAAUCACUGGGCUUAAAGGGCGCGUAGGCGGGCCACCAAGUCUGGGGUGAAAGCCCCCGGCUCAACCGGGGAAUUGCCUGAGAUACUGGUGGUCUGGAGGGAGGUAGGGGCAGCGGGAACUUCCGGUGGAGCGGUGAAAUGCGUUGAUAUCGGAAGGAACGCCGGUGGCGAAAGCGCGCUGCUGGACCUCUUCUGACGCUGAGGCGCGAAAGCUAGGGGAGCGAACGGGAUUAGAUACCCUCGUAGUCC